rnacentral:lncRNA from 1 species
AUGGGAGUAACGGGAACCCCGAGGGCCUGGGCGUGGGCCAGGAGUGACAGGGCGACGCCUGCUCGGGAUUCUAUCACAGACAAGAGGGAGUCGAUGCUAGUAAAGGGACACGUCCGACCCCGCGCCCCGACCCGACUUUGCCGGGCCUUGGUCCCAUCCCAGCGACCGCCUAGUGGAUCCGACCGGUGGUCGGGCUUCCGGGAGAACUACAACUCCCAGGGUGCUACGCGCAGUAAGAGCCCGAAAGCGCCGCGGCCGCCGGCGGCCAAUGGGGUGGAGGGGCGGGGCCUCGGCGCACGUGGCGUCCUGACGCACCGGCGGCGACGUCGGGGUUUGUGUGCGCGAGAGGCCGCCGAUAAAGGUUGGGUGCCUCGCGCCGGGGGCCGUUGGGAGGGAGCGCGCCCCCGCCCCCUCCCCGGCCCCCGCUCCCGCCCCGCCGCCGCCGGGGCCCUGCCUUCCCGUCGACCCCUGCGGGAGGGCCCUGGGCCGCCUCCGCUCGUUCCCCGGUCGGGGCCGCAGACACAGGGUCAGUGGCAAGCUCCACCUGCUAAGAUCAAGAGGGGACAAGAGGAGAGGAGAGAAGACGCGCCAGGUGUCACCUGGUGGGCAGUGCAGGGCGAUGGGGAGGGAGCUUUGAGAUCCUUGGGCUUGGAUGCGCAGGGAGACGAGGCCAGGUGGCUUCGGGUCACCAGCAGCACCGUAUACUGGGUAAGGGGGUGGCGAGGGUCUGGAUGGGGGCUAGGGUGCGGGCUGCAGCGUCCGUGGUCGGUUUGGGGUUCAGCCGCCAGAAGGGGGCGCUGGAGCAGAAUGCGUAGUGGUGGAGAGUAGGUGUCGGAGAGGCUUGUCUAGAGGGAAAGGGCUUCGGCAGUGGGAGCAGGUACUAAGCAGGAUGGAGGAGGAGGUCUUUAGAGGGAGCUGACCGAAGGAUCUGGAGCCAGGGCACUAGAGACCCGGCGUUCUUUAAGGACACGCCUGUCUUUAGGGGGACGGGGCAGAGAGCCCUCCAGCCUCUUGGAGGGGAUGCCCCGUAUCAGGGAGUGACCAGCUCCUCCCAGUGUGCCCGAAGUUUCCCUUGAGCACCCAAGGCCUCUAUCGCGGGCAGCCUCCAUCGUGGGCUGCAGCGUCCGUGGUCGGUUUGGGGUUCAGCCGCCAGAAGGGGGCGCUGGAGCAGAAUGCGUAGUGGUGGAGAGUAGGUGUCGGAGAGGC